GAGUUUGAUCGUGGCUCAGGAUGAACGCUGGCGGCGUGCCUAAUACAUGCAAGUCGAGCGAACAGACGAGGAGCUUGCUCCUCUGACGUUAGCGGCGGACGGGUGAGUAACACGUGGAUAACCUACCUAUAAGACUGGGAUAACUUCGGGAAACCGGAGCUAAUACCGGAUAAUAUAUUGAACCGCAUGGUUCAAUAGUGAAAGACGGUUUUGCUGUCACUUAUAGAUGGAUCCGCGCCGCAUUAGCUAGUUGGUAAAGUAACGGCUUACCAAGGCAACGAUGCGUAGCCGACCUGAGAGGGUGAUCGGCCACACUGGAACUGAGACACGGUCCAGACUCCUACGGGAGGCAGCAGUAGGGAAUCUUCCGCAAUGGGCGAAAGCCUGACGGAGCAACGCCGCGUGAGUGAUGAAGGUCUUCGGAUCGUAAAACUCUGUUAUUAGGGAAGAACAAUGUGUAAGUAACUAUGCACGUCUUGACGGUACCUAAUCAGAAAGCCACGGCUAACUACGUGCCAG
rnacentral:rRNA from 1 species